rnacentral:lncRNA from 1 species
CUGAUGCCAUGUUCCUUCACUUCUUAGUGCACUGUGCAUUUUACACAAGCAGGCAGCUGCCGAGAGAUCAGAGGCUCAGAUUUCAGGCCGUACUUGUGACGUUUGUCAUUAUAAUCAUUGCACCACAACUUUAUGUUCUGACAAGGCCCAGAUCGUCGCGAUAUUGCCAGCAGCCGCUUCUGAAUAAUCUUACAGUCUUCAUCGUUGCAUCACUUGUGGCCACAGGCCUGGCCGAGACUCUGACUCUCACCGACCCGCUGCCCCGGAGCUUCAGGGUUGCCUGUCAUGUGUUUGGAGUGGUUUCCUUUGCUCAGGGACUGUGUACCACCAUCAUGACCUUCACCGCAGCAGACUGUGUACGUGGCAUUUAUUUACUGUUUUUUAUCUUAAAUCAAUGUUCAGGAUCAAAGUUGGAAAUCUUCCAUUUGUUUCCCAAUUUGAACUUCUUUCUUAAUUACUGAAA